UUACGGCCACAUCAUGUUGAAACACCGGUUCCAGUACGAUCAUCGAAGUUAAGCAACGUCGAGUCUGGUUAGUACCUAGAUGGGUGACCUCUUGGGAAUAUCAGAUGUUGUAAG